CCUACGGGUGGCACCAGUGAGGAAUUUUGCGCAAUGGGGGUAACCCUGACGCAGCAACGCCGCGUGAGCGAAGAAGGCCUUCGGGUCGUAAAGCUCUGUCAAGUGGGAAGAGCCCGCAUCAGGUCAACAGGCUGAUGCGCUGACGGUACCACUGAAGGAAGCACCGGCUAACUCCGUGCCAGCAGCCGCGGUAAUACGGAGGGUGCAAGCGUUAUUCGGAAUCACCGGGCGUAAAGGGCGCGCAGGCGGCUGGGCAAGUCAGUAGCGAAAGCCCGGGGCUCAACCCCGGAAGUGCUGCUGAAACUGUCUGGCUUGAGUAUGGUAGAGGGAAGCGGAAUUCCUGGUGUAGCGGUGAAAUGCGUAGAUAUCAGGAGGAACACCGGUGGCGAAGGCGGCUUCCUGGACCAAUACUGACGCUGAGGCGCGAUGGCGUGGGUAGCAAACAGGAUUAGAUACCCUGGUAGUC
rnacentral:rRNA from 1 species